AGCGAACGCUGGCGGCAGGCCUAACACAUGCAAGUCGAACGAACUCUUCGGAGUUAGUGGCGGACGGGUGAGUAACACGUGGGAACGUGCCUUUUGUUUCGGAAUAACUCAGGGAAACUUGUUCUAAUACCGAAUGUGCCCUUCGGGGGAAAGAUUUAUCGCCAUUAGAGCGGCCCGCGUCUGAUUAGCUAGUUGGUGAGGUAACGGCUCACCAAGGCGACGAUCAGUAGCUGGUCUGAGAGGAUGACCAGCCACACUGGGACUGAGACACGGCCCAGACUCCUACGGGAGGCAGCAGUGGGGAAUAUUGCGCAAUGGGCGAAAGCCUGACGCAGCCAUGCCGCGUGAAUGAUGAAGGUCUUAGGAUUGUAAAAUUAUUUCACCGGGGAAGAUAAUGAAGGUACCCGGAGAAGAAGCCCCGGCUAACUUCGUG
rnacentral:rRNA from 1 species